rnacentral:rRNA from 1 species
UACGGGGCGCAGCAGGCGCGAAAACUUCGCAAUGCGCGGAAGCGCGACGAGGGGAUUCCAAGUGCAUGCACUCUGUGUAUGCUGUUUACUGGUCUAAAACGCUAGUAGAGUAAGGGCUGGGUAAGACUGGUGCCAGCCGCCGCGGUAAUACCAGCGGCCCUAGUGGUGAUCGUUAUUAUUGGGCCUAAAGCGUCCGUAGCCGGCCCGGUAAAUCUCUGGGUAAAUCGUUGGGCUUAACUCAACGAAUACUGGGGAGACUGCCGGGCUUGGGACCGGGAGAGGUCGGAGGUACUCCAGGGGUAGGGGUGAAAUCCUGUAAUCCUUGGGGGACCACCGGUGGCGAAGGCGUCCGACCAGAACGGGUCCGACGGUAAGGGACGAAGCCCUGGGGCGCGAACCGGAUUAGAUACCCGGGUAGUCCAGGGUGUAAACGCUGUGCGCUUGGUGUUGGGGGUCCUCCGUGGGCACCCAGUGCCGGAGAGAAGUUGUUAAGCGCACCGCCUGGGGAGUACGGUCGCAAGACUGAAACU